GAUGAACGCUAGCGGCAGGCCUAACACAUGCAAGUCGAACGGUAACAGUUCCUUCGGGAAGCUGACGAGUGGCGCACGGGUGCGUAACGCGUAUGCAAUCUGCCUUGUACUGGAGUAUAGCCCAGGGAAACUUGGAUUAAUCCUCCAUAGUCUAUAUGAUUGGCAUCAUUUAUAUAGUAAAGGUUACGGUACAAGAUGAGCAUGCGUCCUAUUAGCUAGUAGGUGUGGUAACGGCACACCUAGGCUUCGAUAGGUAGGGGUCCUGAGAGGGAGAUCCCCCACACUGGUACUGAGACACGGACCAGACUCCUACGGGAGGCAGCAGUGAGGAAUAUUGGACAAUGGGCGAAAGCCUGAUCCAGCCAUGCCGCGUGCAGGAAGACGGCCCUAUGGGUUGUAAACUGCUUUUAUACGGGAAGAAUAAGGACUACGUGUAGUCUGAUGACGGUACCGUAAGAAUAAGCACCGGCUAACUCCG
rnacentral:rRNA from 1 species